rnacentral:rRNA from 1 species
CGGUUUUCUUAAGUCUGAUGUGAAAGCCCACGGCUCAACCGUGGAGGGUCAUUGGAAACUGGGGAACUUGAGUGCAGAAGAGAAAAGCGGAAUUCCACGUGUAGCGGUGAAAUGCGUAGAGAUGUGGAGGAACACCAGUGGCGAAGGCGGCUUUUUGGUCUGUAACUGACGCUGAGGCGCGAAAGCGUGGGGAGCAAACAGGAUUAGAUACCCUGGUAGUCCACGCCGUAAACGAUGAGUGCUAAGUGUUAGAGGGUUUCCGCCCUUUAGUGCUGCAGCUAACGCAUUAAGCACUCCGCCUGGGGAGUACGGUCGCAAGACUGAAACUCAAAGGAAUUGACGGGGGCCCGCACAAGCGGUGGAGCAUGUGGUUUCAUUCGAAGCAACGCGAAGAACCUUACCAGGUCUUGACAUCCUCUGACAACUCUCGAGAUAGAGCGUUCCCCUUCGGGGGACAGAGUGACAGGUGGUGCAUGGUUGUCGUCAGCUCGUGUCGUGAGAUGUUGGGUUAAGUCCCGCAACGAGCGCAACCCUUGAUCUUAGUUGCCAGCAUUUAGUUGGGCACUCUAAGGUGACUGCCGGUGACAAACCGGAGGAAGGUGGGGAUGACGUCAAAUCAUCAUGCCCCUUAUGACCUGGGCUACACACGUGCUCCAAUGGAUGGUACAAAGGGCUGCAAGACCGCGAGGUCAAGCCAAUCCCAUAAAACCAUUCUCAGUUCGGAUUGUAGGCUGCAACUCGCCUACAUGAAGCUGGAAUCGCUAGUAAUCGCGGAUC